UUACGGCCACAUUAUGUUGAAACACCGGUUCUCGUACGGUCACUGAAAUUAAGCAACGUCGAGACUGGUCAAUACCAAGAGGGGUGACCGCUUGGGAAUACCAGAUGCUGUAAG